rnacentral:rRNA from 1 species
CCUACGUGAGGCAGCAGUGGGGAAUAUUGCGCAAUGGGCGAAAGCCUGACGCAGCGACGCCGCGUGAGGGAUGAAGGUCUUCGGAUCGUAAACCUCUGUCAGCAGGGAAGAACGGUCACUGUGCUAAUCAGCAGUGAAUUGACGGUACCUGCAAAGGAAGCACCGGCUAACUCCGUGCCAGCAGCCGCGGUAAUACGGAGGGUGCGAGCGUUAAUCGGAAUUACUGGGCGUAAAGCGCUCGUAGGCGGUAUGUCAAGUCAAGGGUGAAAUCCCCGCGCUCAACGUGGGAACUGCCUUUGAAACGGGCAAACUGGAGUGUGUGAGAGGAUAGUGGAAUUCCAGGUGUAGGAGUGAAAUCCGUAGAUAUCUGGAGGAACAUCAGUGGCGAAGGCGACUAUCUGGCACAUAACUGACGCUGAGGAGAGAAAGCGUGGGUAGCAAACAGGAUUAGAUACCCGGGUAGUC